rnacentral:rRNA from 1 species
UACAGAGGGGGCAAGCGUUGUUCGGAAUUACUGGGCGUAAAGGGCGCGUAGGCGGCCUUCUAAGUCGAACGUGAAAUCCCCGGGCUCAACCCGGGAACUGCGUCCGAUACUGGGAGGCUUGAAUCCGGGAGAGGGAUGUGGAAUUCCAGGUGUAGCGGUGAAAUGCGUAGAUAUCUGGAGGAACACCGGUGGCGAAGGCGGCAGUCCUGGACCGGUAUUGACGCUGAGGCG